rnacentral:rRNA from 1 species
GAUGAACGCUAGCGGAAGGCUUAAUACAUGCAAGUCGAGCGGUAGGUGGCUUCGGCCAUUGAGAGCGGCGCACGGGUGAGUAACGCGUACAUGACCUGCCUGUCAGAAGGGGAUAGCCCUGGGAAACUGGGAUUAAUACCCUAUGGUAUUGAUAUUAUGAAUGAUAUCAAUUAAAGUUGAGGCGCUGACAGAUGGAUGUGCGUCUGAUUAGCUAGUUGGUAGGGUAACGGCCUACCAAGGCGACGAUCAGUAGGGGGCGUGAGAGCGUGGUCCCCCACACGGGUACUGAGACACGGACCCGACUCCUACGGGAGGCAGCAGUAAGGAAUAUUGGUCAAUGCCCGCAAGGGUGAACCAGCCAUUCCGCGUGGAGGAUGAAGGCCUUCGGGUUGUAAACUGCUUUUGUACGGAACGAAAGGGCUCUCUCUAAUACAGGGGCAUAUGACGGUACCGUAAGAAUAAGCACCGGCUAACUACGUGCCAGCAGCCGCGGUAAU